rnacentral:rRNA from 1 species
UACAGAGGGGGCAAGCGUUGUUCGGAAUUACUGGGCGUAAAGGGCGCGUAGGCGGCCUGUUAAGUCGAACGUGAAAUCCCUGGGCUCAACCCAGGAACUGCGUCCGAUACUGGCAGGCUUGAAUUCGGGAGAGGGAUGCGGAAUUCCAGGUGUAGCGGUGAAAUGCGUAGAUAUCUGGAGGAACACCGAUGGCGAAGGCAGGUCUCUGGGCCACUACUGACGCUGAGAAGCGAAAGCAUGGGGAGCGAACAGG